UACGUAGGGGGCAAGCGUUAUCCGGAUUUACUGGGUGUAAAGGGAGCGUAGGCGGCAAGGUAAGCCAGAAGUGAAAGCCCGCGGCUCAACUGCGGGACUGCUUUUGGAACUAUCUAGCUAGAUUGUAGGAGAGGUAAGUGGAAUUCCUAGUGUAGCGGUGAAAUGCGUAGAUAUUAGGAGGAACACCAGUGGCGAAGGCGGCUUACUGGACUGUAAAUGACGCUGAGGCUCGAAAGCGUGGGGAGCAAACAGG
rnacentral:rRNA from 1 species